UACGUAGGUGGCAAGCGUUGUCCGGAAUCAUUGGGCGUAAAGCGCGCGUAGGCGGCCCGGUAAGUCCGUUGUGAAAGUCAAAGGCUCAACCUUUGAAAGCCGAUGGAUACUGCCGGGCUGGAGUCCGGAAGAGGCGAGUGGAAUUCCUGGUGUAGCGGUGGAAUGCGCAGAUAUCAGGAGGAACACCAAUAGCGAAGGCAGCUCGCUGGGACGGUACUGACGCUGAGGCGCGAAAGCGUGGGGAGCGAACAGG
rnacentral:rRNA from 1 species